rnacentral:rRNA from 1 species
GGAAUAUUGGGCAAUGGAGGAAACUCUGACCCAGCGACGCCGCGUGAGGGAUGAAGGCCUUCGGGUUGUAAACCUCUUUCAGUAGGGAAGAAGCGAAAGUGACGGUACCUACAGAAGAAGCACCGGCUAACUAUGUGCCAGCAGCCGCGGUAAUACAUAGGGUGCAAGCGUUGUCCGGAAUUAUUGGGCGUAAAGAGCUCGUAGGUGGUUCGAUACGUCGGAUGUGAAAAUCAGGGGCUCAACCCCUGACCUGCAUUCGAUACGGUCGAGCUAGAGUUUGGUAGGGGAGACUGGAAUUCCUGGUGUAGCGGUGGAAUGCGCAGAUAUCAGGAGGAACACCGAUGGCGAAGGCAGGUCUCUGGGCCAAUACUGACACUGAGGAGCGAAAGCGUGGGGAGCGAACAGGAUUAGAUACCCUGGUAGUCCACGCCGUAAACGGUGGGCGCUAGUUGUGCGAACCUUCCACGGUUUGUGCGACGCAGCUAACGCAUUAAGCGCCCCGCCUGGGGAGUACGAUCGCAAGAUUAAAACUCAAAUGAAUUGACGG